GUUUUUGACCUAUUUAGUAUACUUGGUUUGGAACCUGGAGUUUCAGAUUCCGACAUAAAGAAAGCUUUAUAGAAGGCUGUCCAUUCAAUACCAUCCUGAUCCAGAGGCCAACAAAUAUUUUGACUGACCCAGUAUCCGGUGAAAACUUUGCAAAGUAUGGUCAUCCAGAUGGCUGUCGCAUUUUCCUUCGUCUUGGUCAAGCCUAUUGAAACUAAUGUGAUGGUAUAGGGCUUUCAAAUGGGCAUUGCUCUUCCUCAAUUUCUCCUUGACAUAGAUGGAGCAUCCGGUGGCAUAUUAUUGCUCUGGAUAGUCGGUGUUUGUAUCCUCUUGCCCCUUGUGAUUACUGUUAUAUAUCUCUCGAGGUCAUCCAAGUAUACCGGGAACUAUGUCAUGCAUCAAACUCUUUCCGCAUAUAUUAUCUUCGUUGGCCCCAAGCAAAGUUAUGGACGUUUUUACCAAGGCAGCUGUGAGCUAAGUUUGGACCCCAAGAACAUGAAGCAAGAGCAAGCUAAGUUUUGGAAGCAGCAUCCUGCCAUAGUGAAGCAGCCUUGUCUCCAGCCCUGGAGGGUGAUUUCAGACGUGUUCUAGAGCUUGCACCUCGCCUCCUUGAAGAGUUACUAAAGAUGGCGGUUCUACCACGAACUGCCCAAGGCCAUGGAUGGUUGAGACCUGCAGUCGGAGUAGUUGAGCUAUCUCAAUGCAUUGUUCUGGUAUUAAUUUGCAGUCACGAAAUGGCUUAGUCACCUAAAAGCAAUUUCUCGGAUCCUAGAAGAUUUUGACACUUAUGGUCGAACCAACACUAGUCCUAAAUGGCAGGAAAUUCUAGGGCAAUAUUCUAUGGUGAAUAUCGAGCUCUUUAACAUUGUGGAAGAGGUGAAGAAAGUCUCCAAGGCCUUUGUUGUGCUUCCUAAGAACGUCAAUGCUGAGAAUGCUCAAAGUUGGGAUCGAGUGAAAAGAAGGAGCAUCUUGCUUUACAGGAAUUAUUUGCAAAAAGGUUAGUUAUAUCUCUUGUAAGUACAUACAUGUUGAGAUCGAGUGAAAUAUUGAAAAUAUAAAAAUAUUAAUUAUGUAUAAAUGUGAAAGUGAUUCGUGCGUGGAAACAAUACAGUGAACCUGUGGGAGAGACCCUAGAGAUGGUUUUGUUCGUAAUAAUUAUCUUCGUUUAUGUGAGUUAGAACUUCAUCAAUUCUAAGUGUUUAAUAAACCAUCGUGGAACCGUAAUCCCCUUUGUUAUUUUUCUUUCA